GUAGGGAAUAUUGCACAAUGGGGGAAACCCUGAUGCAGCGACGCCGCGUGAGUGAUGAAGGCCUUCGGGUCGUAAAGCUCUGUCGUAUGGGACUAACACAAUGAAGGUACCAUGCAAGAAAGGAUCGGCUAACUUCGUGCCAGCAGCCGCGGUAAGACGAGGGAUCCUAGCGUUGUUCGGUAUUAUUGGGCGUAAAGCGGGUGUAGGCGGAUUUGUAAGUCAGGUGUGAAAUCCCAGGGCUCAACCCUGGAAGUGCACUUGAUACUGCGGAUCUUGAGUGUGGUAGAGGUUACUGGAAUUGUUGGUGUAGUGGUGAAAUACGUAGAUAUCAACAGGAAUACCGGAGGCGAAGGCGAGUAACUGGGCCAACACUGACGCUGAGACCCGAAAGCGUGGGGAUCAAACAGGAUUAGAAACCCUAGUAGUCC
rnacentral:rRNA from 1 species